UUCAUAGCUCAGUCGGUAGAGCAUGAGACUCUUGAUCUCAGGGUCACGGGUUGAAGCCACACGGUGGUCAAAA